CCUACGGGUGGCAGCAGUGGGGAAUAUUGCGCAAUGGGCGAAAGCCUGACGCGGCGACGCCGCGUGCGGGAUGAAGGUCUUCGGAUCGUAAACCGCUGUCAGCAGGGAAGAACGGUCACUGUGCUAAUCAGCAGUGAAUUGACGGUACCUGCAAAGGAAGCACCGGCUAACUCCGUGCCAGCAGCCGCGGUAAUACGGAGGGUGCGAGCGUUAAUCGGAAUUACUGGGCGUAAAGCGCUCGUAGGCGGUAUGUCAAGUCAAGGGUGAAAUCCCCGGGCUCAACGUGGGAACUGCAUUUGAAACUGGCAAACUGGAGUGUGUGAGAGGAUAGUGGAAUUCCAGGUGUAGGAGUGAAAUGCGUAGAUAUCACGCAGAACACCGAUGGCGAAGGCAGCAUACCGGCGACAAACUGACGCUGAAGCACGAAAGCGUGGGUAGCGAACAGGAUUAGAUACCCGAGUAGUC
rnacentral:rRNA from 1 species